GAUGAACGCUGGCGGCGUGCCUAACACAUGCAAGUCGAGCGUGAACCGUCUGAAUGAAACUUCGGUCGAGUGAGGAUGGGGAAAGCGGCGGACGGGUGAGUAACGCGUAGGCAACCUGCCCCGUACAGAGGGAUAGCCUCGGGAAACCGGGAUUAAGACCUCAUAAUACCAUUAUCUCACAUGUGAUAAUGGUCAAAGAUUUUAUCGGUAUGGGAUGGGCCUGCGUCUGAUUAGCUGGUUGGUGGGGUAACGGCUCACCAAGGCGACGAUCAGUAGCCGACCUGAGAGGGUAAUCGGCCACAUUGGAACUGAGACACGGUCCAAACUCCUACGGGAGGCAGCAGUGGGGAAUAUUGCACAAUGGGCGAAAGCCUGAUGCAGCAACGCCGCGUGAGCGAGGAAGGCCUUUGGGUCGUAAAGCUCUGUCGAGGAGGAGGAUAAUGACGGUACUCCUCGAGGAAGCCCCGGCUAACUACGUGCCAGCAGCCGCGGU
rnacentral:rRNA from 1 species